CCUACGGGUGGCAGCAGUGGGGAAUAUUGCACAAUGGGGGAAACCCUGAUGCAGCGACGCCGCGUGAGCGAGGAAGUAUUUCGGUAUGUAAAGCUCUGUCAGCAGGGAAGAAGAAUGACGGUACCUGAAGAAGAAGCCCCGGCUAAAGACGUGCCAGCAGCCGCGGUAAUACGUAUUGUGGAAGCGUUAUACGGAUUUACUGGGUGUAAAGGGAGCGCAGGCGGUUCGGCAAGUCUGCUGUGAAAGCCCGGGGCUCAACCGCGGGACUGCAUUGGCAACUGCGGGACUGGAGUGUCGGAGGGGUAAGCGAAAUUCCUGGUGUAGCGGUGAAAUGCGUAGAUAUCAGGAGGAACACCGGUGGCGAAGGCGGCUUACUGGACGAUGACUGACGCUGAGGCUCGAAAGCGUGGGGAGCAAACAGGAUUGGAUACCCCAGUAAU
rnacentral:rRNA from 1 species